ensembl:lncRNA
CCCGGUCGGGCUGUCCCUGCGGGAAGCUGCUGCGGGGUGAGCUGGGGCUGAGUCAGCAGCGAGACGACCUCUGGCAGAGAAGUGCCGCCCAGGGACAGCCCUGUGGUGUCAAAGCGGAUUUUCCACGGCUUCUUGUGGGGCGAGUUCUCUCCACGCGGUGAGGAGCACCAGUUCGCUGUGCUGUGCUCCGUUUGUCGUUUUCCUGAGAGGAAACAUGCGCACCGCAGCUCGUGCCAAGUGUGGCAGUGAUUUCUGCCAUAGUGUCGCCGUGGCAGCCGGACCAAGACUGCAACCACCCAUCCUCUGGUGGCAAUGGCACCUUGCCAGCAGGCUUGGACGCCAGGCCUGCUCAUUAGGCUCUGUCACUCAGCAGCAGCUCCCUCCAUCCUGCUGUCCCUGCUCCCCUCCUACCACCUCAUUACCUUCCAGCUAACCACCUCGUCAGUGGGCUGCAAUAGGACAGAAGUUUGAGCAGUGUGAUGCAAGCGAGCAGAGCUGCCCCAUGCCAGUGGCUCAGCCAUCCUGCUGCUAGGAUUGGGCUCGCCCACACAAGGCAUCUCAGCUUCAUUUUCAAAACAUUCCUCGAGAAGCUGUCUUCUCUCCUUGCCCUCAUAAAUGACAGCAGUUCCUGAAGUAAGAGGAGUGAGAGGAAAACUUCUGCAGAAGCUCUCUGACAGGACUUGCUCCUUUGCCUGUGAGCACACACUUUGUGAAAGCAAGUGUGGGUUUCCAGACCAAAAUGAGGAAUUUCUCUUUCACAACAGAGUCCAAUUGUAUCAAUAACAUGAAGGCACAUUACUCCAAACUGAACAUCACAGGGCAACUGCUUGAGGAAAAAAGAAAAAAUCAAUAUAUGAUGAAAAAGGCACCCAACUCCAGCACAGAAAGGAAAUGCUCAUUUCCAGUAUUCUGAGCUGCUCCUCGUGUCCCUCUAAAUCGCUGUUGUGAUAUUGUCAUUACUCUCCUAGCAUUAUGGUUUCCAAAGACAGUAUUUCCCUGAAUGACAAUGAGGAAGUUUUGCUGCUGCUGUACAAACUGUUAAUUGUUUUUCUGUCAUGCCUUGAGGCCUUGGUGAGGACUCCUUCCAUUGCACUUCGCUCCUAAGAAGAAUUCUGAAGAAGCAUUCCUGCUGCCUCAGGUGCUGCAUUCUCGUUCCCACUGCCCACAGGCAAAAGGGGAUUCAUGUUGGUGUGAAGGUGAAGAAAUCAGUGACACAUCAAUCUGGGAUGUCGGCUAUCUUGAGGUGCACAUCUAUGUUUUUGAUGAAAUGCAGAACUUUAUUCUUUAGUAACAGGUGUGUCUGGGUGAAAUUCUAUACCCUUUGAAACAGGUAAGAACAAAGAAGUCUCAGCCACCACCCCCUAGGGUGGAGUUACAAGGUGCAUUCAUCAUCCUCAAUUACAGACAUAUUUGCAGAGGGCUGUGGCAUGACACCAUGAAAGAUGCACAACUAGCUGUUUAAAUCAUUGAAUAGAAACCUAAUUGGGAGAUAUGCAAGUAAGGAGUGAUGGAGUGAUACCUUACCCACCUUUCCUUGGCUUGCCAGUGCUGAGUGCAUCACCAGUCCUGAGGAGACAGGAAGGCAUGAAUGAUUUUAGGGCUGAUAUUUCCCUCGCACCUCACCUAGUGGCUCUGCAGUAUGUGUUUCUGCAGAAGCCAUUCAGACUGGUCUGCUGGUCACUGCACAUGUGCUUGUGGGAGGCUGCAACCAGGAAGACAACACACUUUGCUUUACAUGAAGUAGCUGGCAGCUCCUGAGUUCGCACCAAAUCCAUACCUCUUUAUAAUGCUUCUUGCCUGUCUUUCUUGCCUCAGUCUAAAAACACACAGUUUUUAGUGUGAAAGCUGUACAUGAUACAAUUUUGCUUAUGUUGCUUCAUUAGCAAAUAUUCUGUCCUAGCCACUCUUCCUGUGCCCGUGGACUUAGGUUUACAUUUGUGAGGAUUUAAAACUGGAAGUAUGUCCAUUUUCCAUCUUGAUUCAUGAAUUUUGCGGUCCUUUGUUUACUGCAAGGUGCACAAGGAGGGCUUCUGAAGAAAGGAGACAGGAAACAUAGUCCACAUGUGGCAACAAAGAGGCAGUUUUGGGGAGGUGGUGGUCAGAGUGAUGGGAUGUUUCUGGGUGUCUACCAUAGCCAAAUGGCACAUUGUUUUCUGGUAUAAAGAAUAUUUUCAUAAUGAGCAGUGAAUUCAGUCUGGCUGCACCUACAGCCCCAAGAACAAACAGUCUAGAGGUAGGUUUGUCAAUAAAUACCAUCUGCUUAGCAGCAUGGAAU